rnacentral:rRNA from 1 species
UACGGAGGGGGCUAGCGUUGUUCGGAAUUACUGGGCGUAAAGCGCGCGCAGGCGGUUCGAUAAGUUGGGGGUGAAAUCCCCGGGCUCAACCCGGGAAUUGCCUUCAAGACUGUCGAGCUAGAGGACGAGAGAGGUGAGUGGAAUUCCCAGUGUAGAGGUGAAAUUCGUAGAUAUUGGGAAGAACACCAGCGGCGAAGGCGGCGCUCUGGGCCGGAACUGACGCUGAGGAGCGAAAGCGUGGGGAGCAAACAGG